GACGAACGCUGGCGGCGUGCUUAACACAUGCAAGUCGAACGGAAAGACCCUGCUUUUGUGGGGUGCUCGAGUGGCGAACGGGUGAGUAACACGUGAGUAACCUGCCCUUGACUUUGGGAUAACUUCAGGAAACUGGGGCUAAUACCGGAUAGGAGCUCCUGCUGCAUGGUGGGGGUUGGAAAGUUUCGGCGGUUGGGGAUGGACUCGCGGCUUAUCAGCUUGUUGGUGGGGUAGUGGCUUACCAAGGCUUUGACGGGUAGCCGGCCUGAGAGGGUGACCGGCCACAUUGGGACUGAGAUACGGCCCAGACUCCUACGGGAGGCAGCAGUGGGGAAUAUUGCACAAUGGGCGGAAGCCUGAGGCAGCAACGCCGCGUGCGGGAUGACGGCCUUCGGGUUGUAAACCGCUUUCGCCUGUGACGAAGCGUGAGUGACGGUAAUGGGGAAAGAAGCACCGGCUAACUACGU
rnacentral:rRNA from 1 species